rnacentral:lncRNA from 1 species
UCAACCGUUCAUUCUCAUCUUCCUCAAAAACCUUACCUUCUUCUUCAUCAUCACCUCUCCACCUCUAUCGUCUUCGAGAAACCACAAAAUCUCUCUCUCUCUCUCUCUCUCUUCUCUCUUCUCUCUUACUCUCUCUCUCUUCACAGCAAUGGCGUCUCUACAGAAAACUCUAUUCUCUCUCCAAUCAAAACUCCCACCAUCCUCCUUCCAAAUCGCCAGAUCUCUC